rnacentral:rRNA from 1 species
AACGUAGGAGACAAACGUUAUCCGGAGUUACUGGGCGUAAAGGGCGUGUAGGCGGUUUGUUAAGUCUGGCGUGAAAGCUCUCGGCUAAACCGGGAGAGGUCGUUGGAUACUGGCAAACUAGAGGACGGUAGAGGCGUGUGGAAUUCCGGGUGUAGUGGUGAAAUGCGUAGAUAUCGGGAGGAACACCUGUGGCGAAAGCGGCUCACUGGACCACAACUGACGCUGAGGCGCGAAAGCUAGGGGAGCAAACAGG